AGUUUGCCUGUGACAUCUAAUAGUUCUGUUCUAAAUGAUCAGAAUCUCCAAACUAGUGGAUAUAUUGGUUCAAUAUCCAUGCCGUGUCAAUCAGAAUUGGUGCCUUCUCCGGACCCAACAAAUUCAUGUCAAACAGGAUUGACACCUUCUCCUGACCCUGCAAAUCCAUGUCAAACAGGAUUUAUGCCUUAUCCAGACCCUGUGAAUUCUUGUCAAACAGGAGGAUUUAUGCCGUCUCCCAACCCAGCAAAUUCAUGUCAAACAGGAUUGACGCCUUCUCCUGACCCUUCAAAUUCUUGUCAAACAGGAUUUAUGCCUUAUCCAGACCCUGUGAAUUCUUAUCAAACAGGAUUUAUGCCUGCUUCCGACCCUGCAAAUUCAUGUCAAACAGAAUUUAUGCCGUCCCCUGACCAUGCGAGUUCAUGUCAAAUAGGAUUGAUGCCUUUGCCUGACCCUGCAAAUGAUUCAUAUCCAGACAAUCAAGCUGUUAAUAAUGAUGACGACGAUAUUCUAGCAAUGCUUGAUAUUUUCAAAGGCAAUGGCGUAUUGCCUGCACCCGACCCUGCAAAUGAUUCAUAUCCAGACAAUCAAGCUGUUAAUAAU
rnacentral:lncRNA from 1 species